UACGGAGGGUGCAAGCGUUAUCCGGAUUUACUGGGUUUAAAGGGUGUGUAGGCGGGUCUUUAAGUCCGGGGUGAAAUCUCCGAGCUCAACUUGGAAACUGCCAUUGAUACUAUUGAUCUUGAAUUUUGUUGAGGUAGGCGGAAUAAGUCAUGUAGCGGUGAAAUGCAUAGAUAUGACUUAGAACACCAAUUGCGAAGGCAGCUUGCUAAACAAAUAUUGACGCUGAGGCACGAAAGCGUGGGGAGCAAACAGG
rnacentral:rRNA from 1 species